rnacentral:antisense_RNA from 1 species
CUUGACGGAUCCCAGCCACAACGGCUCGUCCGCCGGGCGGUCCUGACCGUAGGUGGCCAGCAGGGCCCGCGCCUC